rnacentral:lncRNA from 1 species
CCCACAAUUUUUAAAGCAGUCCUGGUUAAGAACCACCUUAUCAGACUGCCAAUUAAUACACUACUGACUUUCAGAAGCUCCAUUUUAGAGAUGAGCUCAUAGUCUUCUACAGCAGAUGACUAUUUCCCUAGGAAUCUUGCUACUUCAGUGAAACCUGUGGAUGUUAGCAUUUGUAACUCUUCCAUAAUUUACAACAAUGACUGAAG